AUGGCCAACGUUGUCUUCAAUUUCAACGCGUUCCUAGGGAAAACCAAGCUGAAAGACGAUGGCAGCAACUAUACGGACUGGGUCCGAAACCUGAGGAUCAUCCUCAUAGCUGCCAAGAAAGAUUAUGUCCUACAAGCACCGCUCGGUGAUCCACCCGUCCCACAAAACCAAGACGUUAUGAACGCUUGGCAGACACGGGCUGAUGACUACUCCCUCGUUCAGUGCGGCAUGCUUUACAGUUUAGAUCCGGGGCUCCAAAAGCGUUUUGAGAGACAUGGAGCAUAUGAGAUGUUCGAAGAGCUGAAAUUGGUUUUUCAAGCUCAUGCCCGGGUCGAGAGAUAUGAAGUCUCCGACAAAUUCUUUAGCUGUAAGAUGGAGGAAAAUAGUUCUGUCAGUGAGCACAUACUCACUAUGUCUGGGUUACAUAACCGCUUGACUCAGCUGUGA
rnacentral:rRNA from 1 species